rnacentral:rRNA from 1 species
CCUACGGGAGGCAGCAGUGGGGAAUAUUGCACAAUGGGCGCAAGCCUGAUCCAGCCAUGCCGCGUGAGUGAAGAAGGCCUUCGGGUUGUAAAGCUCUUUCAGUUGGGAAGAAACGAUUACAACUAAUAAUUGUAAUUAAUGACGGUACCGACAGAAGAAGCACCGGCUAACUACGUGCCAGCAGCCGCGGUAAUACGUAGGGUGCGAGCGUUAAUCGGAUUACUGGGCGUAAAGGGUGCGCAGGCGGGUUUUGUAAGUCAGAUGUGAAAUCCCCGGGCUUAACCUGGGAAUGGCGUUUGAAACUGCAAGGCUAGAGUGUAGCAGAGGGGAGUGGAAUUCCGCGUGUAGCAGUGAAAUGCGUAGAUAUGCGGAGGAACACCGAUGGCGAAGGCAGCUCCCUGGGCUAACACUGACGCUCAUGCACGAAAGCGUGGGGAGCAAACAGGAUUAGAUACCCUGGUAGUCCACGCCCUAAACGAUGUCAACUAGUUGUCGGGCCUAAUUGAGGGUUUGGUAACGUAGCUAACGCGUGAAGUUGACCGCCUGGGGAGUACGAUCGCAAGAUUAAAACUCAAAGGAAUUGACGG